rnacentral:ncRNA from 1 species
GAGGGUGGGCCCCUCGAAGGUCGGCGUGCAGGCGCAGGCCUCAAACCACCCACUGCUGCUGCGCUUAAGAGGCGUGGUGGUGAGCGAGCUGGGAAAAGGCCGGGUUCGACCCGGUGUUACGU